rnacentral:rRNA from 1 species
AGUAGUUUGAUCAGUGGCUCAAGAAUGAACGCUGGCGGCAGGCCUAACACAUGCAAGUCGAGCGAAGUCUUCGGACUUAGCGGCGGACGGGUGAGUAACGCGUGGGAACGUACCUUUUGCUUCGGAAUAGCCUCGGGAAACUGGGAGUAAUACCGAAUGUGCCCUACGGGGGAAAGAUUUAUCGGCAAAAGAUCGGCCCGCGUUGGAUUAGGUAGUUGGUGGGGUAAUGGCCUACCAAGCCGACGAUCCAUAGCUGGUUUGAGAGGAUGAUCAGCCACACUGGGACUGAGACACGGCCCAGACUCCUACGGGAGGCAGCAGUGGGGAAUCUUAGACAAUGGGCGCAAGCCUGAUCUAGCCAUGCCACGUGAUCGAUGAAGGCCUUAGGGUUGUAAAGAUCUUUCGUGGGGGAAGAUAAUGACGGUACCCCAAGAAGAAGCCCCGGCUAACUCCGUG